ensembl:snRNA U6 U6 spliceosomal RNA
UGGUCAUUUUGACAGAACAUAAUACUAAGAUUAAAGUGAUACAGAGAAGAUUAGCCUGUUGCCUGUGCAAGGGUGACACAAAUACAUGAAUGGUUGUGUAUUUAA